GCAUAUGCAAUCUGAGAAACAGAGCUUCAAAUAGAUGUAUCAUACAUGGAGAUUGGACAAUGACUAAGGGAGUUGUGCUGUUUUGAAGUUAGACAUUAAUGCUGAAUGGGCUGCCAGAAAACCAGAGAUUUUCACUGCCAAAGAUUGACAAGGGAUUCCCACACUUUUGUGACAUAUUUCCUUAGCAACCAUGUGUUUAAAUAGAUACUGUAAGAGGGAAAUUAAACUGGGACCCAGAAAAGGCUGACAUUUGAACGAGCCAGCAUGCUGGGACGCAGCGUGUACUUCAAAGGACCCGAGAGCCUUGUGGUAAAACAAUAAGUCACUCGGACUUCCUCUGAAUGGGCAGGCCAUUUGGCUCUCUGGAAUGUUACCACCUGGACACAACCAAGAUAAGGGGAACUAGUCUCUUUGUCUGUGGUUGUGGGUGUGGGUGUUUUGGGGUCGUAAAGGGUGAAGCGACCGGCACCUGGUGGGGGCACUACACGGGACAGUACCACACUGCCCACAUAUGGACCCCUCUGACAUUACACUUUGUAUUUCUUUUCUGGAUUUGGACUAUAAACCAUCUGUAUAUCUUAUUUACAAAUCCCGGAAAACCUUACAAACCAUGCACAUGUGUUCAUUGUAUUAUUGUAUUAUGCCUUAUGUAAUAAUAACAUGGAUUGCGUGUUCAAUGGUUAAACAGAAGGGUAUUUUCAUGACAACUGCAGCAUAAUAUUACAUCCACUUGACAUGUUUAGUAUGGACAUAUUCAGGAAAAUUAUAGCAAUUGAAUGAAAUAUGUUUCAUACCAAAUAGAAUUUAAUAAAACAUAGUUUCAAUAACUCAGGAAAAACCUAACACAAUGGAAUGUCCUCUCUGGUAAUCAUCUCCUUUUCCCCAUUUCCCCACCAAUUGUUUUAACAACCUCCUCCAAAUGGUGGGGGCCGGAAUUAGAGAUUUAUGAUUCGGACAGGUUAAUUUAUGGCAAUGCCGCCUAGACCAAACGCGGGAUUUGGCUUAAAAGGAAGGGAGACAAAGCAAUCGAGGAAGAUCGUAAUCGACUUCCCACCGUGCACAUACUAUGCUAUGUGUUCUGUGUGUAGCUAAACAGGCUGGUAAGAACUCUUUUCCUCUGUAUUUAUGUUUUUUAAACCUUAUAAUUGAUUUGAAUUUAAAGAUAACAACCUACCUGCCUGUUCAAUAAAUUCUUAUUUUUAACUUG